GUUGGGUAGGGGAGCGUUCUGUAAGCCUGCGAAGGUGGCCUGUGAGGGUUGCUGGAGGUAUCAGAAGUGCGAAUGCUGACAUAAGUAACGAUAAAGCGGGUGAAAAGCCCGCUCGCCGGAAGACCAAGGGUUCCUGUCCAACGUUAAUCGGGGCAGGGUGAGUCGACCCCUAAGGCGAGGCCGAAAGGCGUAGUCGAUGGGAAACGGGUUAAUAUUCCCGUACUUGGUGUUACUGCGAAGGGGGGACGGAGAAGGCUAUGUUGGCCGGGCGACGGUUGUCCCGGUUUAAGCGUGUAGG
rnacentral:rRNA from 2 species